CAGCGAGUGAAUCUUGAUGAGGGUACAUGUGACCCUGGGGAGAUGCAGCACCCACACCGCGGACGGUUGAUGGACUCGGUCGAGAAGGAGAGGCUUGAGAAGAGCCAGCCGCCUGCGCCUAAGAGAUGGAUUUAUAAAAGGGCCACAACAUGGGCAGUCGGAAAAGGAUUGAAAAGAAGAGGUCAGAUACAGUCAGAGCUAGAAACAGGGAAAUUAUAAAGUAGGAAAUAGCAGGGGGAAAGGUGAUGCUUGUUACUGCGAGGACAAACACAGGAGGUGUGAAGAAAAAGGGAAACUUUGCCCUCUAGUGUGUGGCAAUAACACACCAUGCUGAAAACAAUAGUGUGUCACCUUCAGCAGCUUCAUCAGUCCCUCCAGCUGUACCAUCAGUUCCCUCCUGCUCUCUUGCAGAGACGACAUCCUCUGCUCCAGCUCAUCUUUCCUUUGUCUGCAACACACACCAGCCCUCCAUUACUGUCAAGCAAUACAAGAACCAAAGUGCAAUGACUCACAGAAGACGCAGUGAAAUAAUGUGAGGUUGCAAAGGCACAGGAACACAGGAAGGCAACAGCACAGAAAGCUGAAAACUCUUUGGUUACAUUCAUUUGCAGUAAGCCACAUAAACAGUAUUGAUCUCAGUUAGCCAGAUCAAAAAUCUGGCGUAAAUGUAGGUAGGCCCUAACACACUCCAGCCAAGGCUAUUUGGUUUGGUACCGUGUCUGAUGAGGUUUAUGAGUGGAUAAAAUAUAGCUGUGGAAAAUCCCAAAACUCCUCCCUCUCUUACACUUGUGCAGACAGUUGUCAAGUCGCCUUGUUAGCAAAACAAGAGACUAAGGAUGUAGACGUAGGAGCAAUGUAUUCCUAUUCCUUAAUGUAUAUAUUAGAUAUUUUUGUAUUGUGUGUAUUUAUUAAUGGCGUGAGUAUAUGUACACUGUCCUUAGAGGAAGGGUGCUGCAGGCUAGGGGUGUGGCUGACUGGAAAAGCACAGUCUUUAACCUUGCGCAGGUUGCAGGACAUGUCUAAAUCUUGCUUGCUUAUUUUGCAUCUUUUGUAUUUAGUUUAUAUUUUGAUUUCCAUUAUUCAAUCAUUGUAAAAGCAAGAAGUGAAUAAACAAAUAUUCAUCUGGA